GCGGUCCACUGCCAGACGGUUACAAACGUCGCUAUCAGUCUGUUGCACCCUCCGCCUAUAAAAGGGGGACCCCAGAUACGUUAUUCUCUAAGCUCUAAUUUCUAUCCCAAAACUCUGCUAAAAUUUUCGUUCGAGCACUCCAUUCUUGUUGAGACAGAGAACUGACUUGAGCAUCGGAGGAUCUUGCCGGAGCAACCCCAACUC
rnacentral:lncRNA from 1 species